UAAGCAUUAUUCUUGACCAUUCUUUCAGAUUGCAAUCCAAGGGCAUGCAUAGUAGAUACAUAAACAUUUUGCCCUCCAAAACAAGGUCAAUCAUCUUUCUUGGCUGUUCUAUUCCGGUGACCGAUCAAUCGUGAAAUCCGGUCGGAGUUGGACCACCGCUGAACCUACAACGUCAACUCCAGUACAAUCUGGUUGCUUUGAGCCUAGCCAGGUCGGAGAAAUGAAACGGAGUAUUGACAGAGAGCUCAGGGAAGUAUUUAAGUGAUUGAUGAUACUCAUCCUUUAUGUAAUCUCAAGACGCCGAAGUUGCGGCCGAUUGAAGCCGUUCCUGAGCUUCACUGAUCGCGCUCCUUGUUCUGCUCUGUUUGUCGUUCAGAGAUCUCGAAUUGCCUUGUACUCGCUUAAUCCUCCUUUGUCCGUUCCGAUCGUCAUCGGUGACCAUUCCAGGACUACUCCUUGUAAGUUCAACAGCUGAUCGCAACUGCAAUCGCACGUCAUCAAGGUAAAAUUCCCCGUUCUCCGUUCUCGGUUGUACUUCGGUUGAAAUGCACUUGACAUGUUCGAUAAAAUGAUUGGAUGACACCGCAAUGCGCGCUCAUAGAAGAAAUGAGUUCAAUAGUUACUUUGUUCCAUGCUCAUGCGAUCUGAUCAUUGCACUUUUAGGCAUUCAUGUUUCUUUUUCCAUGCUUGAGUUGAGAAUCAGGUUAUGCUAAUACAAAUAAGUGUUAUGUUUAGUGGACAUGUCUCCCUUGAGAAUGAGCAAUGGUGUCUGCUUAAAUCCCCUGACUACGCUGCCAAUAGCUUGUCUCUCAAAAUAGAAGCUUGGAGAAGUGCUGACUGCACAUGACAAAGGCCACAAUCAUUACUAUCGACUCCCUUUCCUUCUCUCUGCACUUUGUUGUCUUCAUUACAUGUGUUUCUUCUUUUGCUAUCCGUCCUUCACAUCUUUGUUAUUGCUCUGUUUCAAGGCCCUGAGUUGUACAGCAACUGUUCUGUUCUAUGUUCCGGUGAUUUUCCAUGGUGGUCGGCAAUGAGCGUGUGGUCUGGAAUUAUUGUUCUCAACCUUCAUUUCUGGAUGAAGCCGAUCCCUGAAGGUAAGCCAAGAUCCUCGUGCUUCAAAUCUGUUUUGAUCAUGUUCAAUAGAAAACUUUGCUGGACUUUGCUGAACUUUGCUGAAAUAGAAUGAAGUUUGUAGAGUAUCUGCUUGAAGUUUAUUGAGACUUGCUGAAAUUCUGGAGUUGUUAA